UACAGAGGUUGCAAGCGUUAAUCGGAAUUACUGGGCGUAAAGCGUGCGUAGACGGUUAUUUAAGUCAGGUGUGAAAGCCCCGGGCUCAACCUGGGAAUUGCAUUUGAGACUGAAUAGCUAGGGUGCGGAAGAGGGAAGCGGAAUUUCCGGUGUAGCGGUGAAAUGCGUAGAUAUCGGAAGGAACACCAGUGGCGAAGGCAGCUCGCUGGGACGUUACUGACGCUGAGACGCGAAAGCGUGGGGAGCAAACAGG
rnacentral:rRNA from 1 species